rnacentral:rRNA from 1 species
CGCGCGGAGGUCAUUGCUAUCGGAGUCCGAUUUAGCCAUGCUAGUCGUACGGGUUCAGACCCGUGGCGAAUAGCUCCGUAACACGUGGUCAAACUACCCUGUGGAGGACCAUACCCUCGGGAAACUGAGGCUAAUAGUCCAUACGAUCCCCGAGCUGGAAUGCUGGGGACCCGAAAUGCUCCGGCGCCACAGGAUGUGACUGCGGCCGAUUAGGUAGACGGUGGGGUAACGGCCCACCGUGCCGAUAAUCGGUACGGGUUGUGAGAGCAAGAGCCCGGAGACGGAAUCUGAGACAAGAUUCCGGGCCCUACGGGGCGCAGCAGGCGCGAAACCUUUACACUGCACGCACGUGCGAUAAGGGGACUCCGAGUGCGAGGGCAUACAGUCCUCGCUUUUCUGAACCGUAGGGAGGUUCAGGAACAAGAGCUGGGCAAGACCGGUGCCAGCCGCCGCGGUAAUACCGGCAGCUCGAGUGAUGACCGAUUUUAUUGGGCCUAAAGCGUCCGUAGCCGGCCAGCCAAGUCCGUCGGGAAAUCCAGUCGCUCAACGACUGGGCGUCCGGCGGAAACUAGCUGGCUUGGGGCCGGAAGACCCAGGGGGUACGUCCGGGGUAGGAGUGAAAUCCCGUAAUCCUGGACGGACCGCCGAUGGCGAAAGCACCCUGGGAAGACGGACCCGACGGUGAGGGACGAAAGCUAGGGUCUCGAACCGGAUUAGAUACCCGGGUAGUCCUAGCCGUAAACGAUGCUCGCUAGGUGUGGCACAGGCUACGAGCCUGUGCUGUGCCGUAGGGAAGCCGAGAAGCGAGCCGCCUGGGAAGUACGUCCGCAAGGAUGAAACUUAAAGGAAUUGGCGGGGGGAGCACUACAACCCGGAGGAGCCUGCGGUUUAUUGUCUCUAC